rnacentral:tRNA from 1 species
GGAGGAGUGGCCGAGUGGUUGAAGGCGGCGGUCUUGAAAACCGUUUUCGUGAACGCGAACGUGGGUUCGAAUCCUACCUCCUCCG